UACGUAGGGUGCAAGCGUUGUCCGGAAUUAUUGGGCGUAAAGAGCUCGUAGGCGGUUUGUCGCGUCUGCUGUGAAAAUCCAGGGCUUAACCCUGGACCUGCAGUGGGUACGGGCAGACUGGAGUGCGGUAGGGGAGAUCGGAAUUCCUGGUGUAGCGGUGAAAUGCGCAGAUAUCAGGAGGAACACCGGUGGCGAAGGCGGAUCUCUGGGCCGUAACUGACGCUGAGACGCGAAAGCGUGGGGAGCGAACAGG
rnacentral:rRNA from 1 species